CAGCAAGAGAUUAACACUUUUUUUUUUUUUUUUUCUUUUUGGUGUGGCUGUGGCUGAGAUUUCACAAUGCCCUGGAUGGCUUCUUGGUCUGAUUUCACAAAGGGCUUUUCCUAAAUGAUAAAUGGAGGAAUGUCCAAACUCCCAUGUGAAAUUAUCAUUCCUGUAUGUUUCGCAUGUAACCGAGUCUAGUUACUUCAAAAGUUACAGCCGUUGGGCCAGGCGCGGUGGCUCACGCCCGUAAUCCCAACACUUUGGGAGCCGAGGCGGAUGGAUCUCAAGAUCUGGAGAUCGAGACCAUCCUGGCUAACACAGUGAAAUCCUGAAUCUACUCAAAAUACAAAAAAUUAGCUGGGCGUGGUGUUGGGUGCCUGUAGUCCCAGCUACUUGGGAAGCUGAGGCAGGAGAAUCGCUUGAAUCCAGAGGGCAGAGGCUGCAGUGCGCAGAGAUUGCACCACCGUACUCCAGCCUAGGCGACAGAAAAAAAAAAGAACUUUAUGAGUUUCUUGUUGGAAGGACUGUCUUUAAAUUAAAGCAAUUAGAGUUACUUUAUGAGAUUUACCCAAAUAUGAAGAGAAUAUUCAAGUUGACCAGAAGAAAAUAUUCAAUUACUGAAAAAUAUUAAUUACCUCAAUCGGCAAACAUUCUUUAAAUGAAAUUAAAACUCGGGCCGGGCGCGGUGGCUCAGGCCUCCACAUUGGGAGGCCGAGGAGGGUGGAUCACGAGGUGAAGAGAUCGAGACCAUCCUGGUCAACAUGGUGAAACCCCGUCUCUACUAAAAAC
rnacentral:lncRNA from 1 species